rnacentral:rRNA from 1 species
AGAGUUUGAUCCUGGCUCAGAACGAACGCUGGCGGCGUGGAUUAGGCAUGCAAGUCGAACGAGAAAGCGGUCUUCGGACCGUGAGUACAGUGGCGAACGGGUGAGUAACGCGUGGGAAACCUGCUCUUGAGUGGGGGAUAACAGUUCUAACGGGCUGCUAAUACCGCAUGACACCACAGACCGCAUGGUCUGUGGUUAAAGAUGGCCUCUACAUGUAAGCUGUCGCUUAAGAAUGGUCCCGCGUCCUAUUAGCUUGUUGGUGGGGUAACGGCCUACCAAGGCAUCGAUGGGUAGCCGGCUUGAGAGAGUGGUCGGCCACACUGGGACUGAGAUACGGCCCAGACUCCUACGGGAGGCAGCAGUCGAGAGGCUUCGGCAAUGGGGGAAACCCUGACCGAGCGACGUCGCGUGGGUGAUGAAGAUCCUUGGAUCGUAAAACCCUGUCAGGUGGGAAGAAACAUCAUUUGGUUAAUAACCAAGUGACUUGACGGUACCACCAGAGGAAGCUCCGGCUAACUCCGUGCCAGCAGCCGCGGUAACACGGGGGGAGCAAGCGUUGUUCGGAUUCAUUGGGCGUAAAGAGCUCGUAGGCGGCUCCGUAAGUCAGAGGUGAAAGACCACGGCUCAACCGUGGAACCGCCUUUGAAACUACAGAGCUUGAGGCCGGGAGAGGAAAGUGGAAUUCCUGGAGUAGCGGUGAAAUGCGUAGAUAUCAGGAGGAACACCAGUGGCGAAGGCGACUUUCUGGACCGGUUCUGACGCUGAGGAGCGAAAGCUAGGGGAGCAAACAGGAUUAGAUACCCUGGUAGUCCUAGCCGUAAACGAUGGGCACUAGGUGUAGGAGGAUCGACCCCUUCUGUGCCGCAGUUAACGCAUUAAGUGCCCCGCCUGGGGAGUACGACCGCAAGGUUGAAACUCAAAGGAAUUGACGGGGGCCCGCACAAGCGGUGGAGCAUGUG